rnacentral:lncRNA from 1 species
CUGCAACAGCCCCUGGAGCGAGGCCCCCCAGGGCGGGACCCACGGGCCACCACUGGGGUGACUCUUGGCCUGGAUACCAGGGAACCCUUGCACAAGCACUUCCUGUCUGAGGAGAACAUGGCCACCCAUUUCUCCCGACUCAGCCUACAUAAUGACCACCCCUAUUGCAGUCCCCCUGUGACUUUUCCCGAAGCCCUGCCACCACUCAGAGACCAGCAACUCCCAGAAAGGGAUGAAGGCCUUCUCCAAACCCGGUGCCUGGCCACCAGGACCUUCCCCUGACAGGAGGACACUGAGCUCGGUGGAACGUUAGAUUCGAAGCAGCCUGGGAAGAGAAGGUGUCACCCCAUUAGUGAAUAAAGACCUGUGAGCAGUU